rnacentral:rRNA from 1 species
UACGGGGGGGGGCAAGCGUUGUUCGGAAUUACUGGGCGUAAAGGGCUCGUAGGCGGCCAACUAAGUCAGACGUGAAAAUCCCCUCGGCUUAACCGGGGAACUGCGUCUGAUACUGGAUGGCUUGAGUGUGGGGAGAGGAAUGCGGAAUUCCAGGUGUAGCGGUGAAAUGCGUAGAUAUCUGGAGGAACACCGGUGGCGAAGGCGGCAUUCUGGACCAUUACUGACGCUGAGGAGCGAAAAGCCAGGGGGAGCAAACGGG